AGAGUUUGAUCAUGGCUCAGAUUGAACGCUGGCGGCGUGCCUAACACAUGCAAGUCGAGCGGUAACAGGCGUAGCAAUACGUGCUGACGAGCGGCGAACGGGUGAGUAACGCUUCGGAAUCUGCCCAAUGGUGGGGAAUAACCAGCCGAAAGGUUGGCUAAUUCCGCAUGAGCCCUACGGGGGAAAGCGGGGGAUCGCAAGACCUCGCGCCGAUGGAUGAGCCGAAGCCGGAUUAGCUAGUUGGUAGGGUAACGGCCUACCAAGGCGACGAUCCGUAGCUGGUCUGAGAGGACGACCAGCCACACUGGGACUGAGACACGGCCCAGACUCCUACGGGAGGCAGCAGUGGGGAAUAUUGGACAAUGGGGGAAACCCUGAUCCAGCGACGCCGCGUGUGUGAAGAAGGCCUGCGGGUUGUAAAGCACUUUUAGUGGGGAUGAAAAGCUCAGGGCUAACACCUCUGGGUCUUGACCUAACCCACAGAAAAAGCACCGGCUAACUCUGUGCCAGCAGCCGCGGUAAUACAGAGGGUGCAAGCGUUAAUCGGAAUUACUGGGCGUAAAGCGUACGUAGACGGUUGGAUAAGUCGGAUGUGAAAGCCCCGGGCUCAACCUGGGAAUGGCAUUCGAGACUGUUCAGCUAGGGUGCGGAAGAGGGAAGCGGAAUUUCCGGUGUAGCGGUGAAAUGCGUAGAUUCGGAAGGAACACCAGUGGCGAAAGGGCUUCCUGGUCCAGCACCGACGUUCAGGUACGAAAGCAUGGGGAGCAAACAGGAUUAGAUACCCUAGUAGUCC
rnacentral:rRNA from 1 species